AGGGGAAUAUUGGACAAUGGGCGCAAGCCUGAUCCAGCCAUGCCGCGUGAGUGAUGAAGGCCCUAGGUUUGUAAAGCUCUUUCACCGGUGAAGAUAAUGACGGUAACCGGAGAAGAAGCCCCGGCUAACUUCGUGCCAGCAGCCGCGGUAAUACGAAGGGGGCUAGCGUUGUUCGGAUUUACUGGGCGUAAAGCGCACGUAGGCGGACUUUUAAGUCAGGGGUGAAAUCCCGGGGCUCAACCCCGGAACUGCCUUUGAUACUGGAAGUCUUGAGUAUGGUAGAGGUGAGUGGAAUUCCGAGUGUAGAGGUGAAAUUCGUAGAUAUUCGGAGGAACACCAGUGGCGAAGGCGGCUCACUGGACCAUUACUGACGCUGAGGUGCGAAAGCGUGGGGAGCAAACAGG
rnacentral:rRNA from 1 species